AGGAGCAGUAAUAGGGCAUCUUUCUAUUGGCACGAGACAGUGAGAUGUGCUCUUUUUGUGUGUGUGUUCAUGGCUACUUGGCUCUGUCACUUGCCAAAGGAGAGUUGCCCUGUCACUGCUUCC
rnacentral:pre_miRNA from 1 species